rnacentral:rRNA from 1 species
AGUGAACGCUGGCGGUAGGCCUAACACAUGCAAGUCGAACGGCAGCACAGUAAGAGCUUGCUCUUACGGGUGGCGAGUGGCGGACGGGUGAGGAAUACAUCGGAAUCUACUUUUUCGUGGGGGAUAACGUAGGGAAACUUACGCUAAUACCGCAUACGACCUACGGGUGAAAGCAGGGGAUCUUCGGACCUUGCGCGAUUGAAUGAGCCGAUGUCGGAUUAGCUAGUUGGCGGGGUAAAGGCCCACCAAGGCGACGAUCCGUAGCUGGUCUGAGAGGAUGAUCAGCCAAACUGGAACUGAGACACGGUCCAGACACCGCCGGGAGGCAGCAGUGGGGAAUAUUGGACAAUGGGCGCAAGCCUGAUCCAGCCAUACCGCGUAGGUGAAGAAGGCCUUCGGGUUGUAAAGCCCUUUUGUUGGGAAAGAAAAGCAGCAGGUUAAUACCCCGCUGUUCUGACGGUACCCAAAGAAUAAGCACCGGCUAACUUCGUG